rnacentral:rRNA from 1 species
AGUGAACGCUGGCGGUAGGCCUAACACAUGCAAGUCGAACGGCAGCACAGUAAGAGCUUGCUCUUACGGGUGGCGAGUGGCGGACGGGUGAGGAAUACAUCGGAAUCUACUUUUUCGUGGGGGAUAACGUAGGGAAACUUACGCUAAUACCGCAUACGACCUACGGGUGAAAGCAGGGGAUCUUCGGACCUUGCGCGAUUGAAUAAGCCGAUGUCGGAUUAGCUAGUUGGCGGGGUAAAGGCCCACCAAGGCGACGAUCCGUAGCUGGUCUGAGAGGAUGAUCAGCCACACUGGAACUGAGACACGGUCCAGACUCCUACGGGAGGCAGCAGUGGGGAAUAUUGGACAAUGGGCGCAAGCCUGAUCCAGCCAUACCGCGUGGGUGAAGAAGGCCUUCGGGUUGUAAAGCCCUUUUGUUGGGAAAGAAAAGCAGCAGGUUAAUACCCCGCUGUUCUGACGGUACCCAAUGAAUAAGCAACGGCUAACUUCGUG